AGUCAUAUGCUUGCCUCAAAGAUUAAGCCAUGCAUGUCUAAGUAUAAGCAAUUAUACAGCGAAACUGCGAAUGGCUCAUUAUAUAAGUUAUCGUUUAUUUGAUGGUACCUUACUACUUGGAUAACCGUGGUAAUUCUAGAGCUAAUACAUGCUAAAAAUCCCGACUUCGGAAGGGAUGUAUUUAUUAGAUUAAAAACCAAUGCCCUCUGGGCUCUUUGGUGAUUCAUGAUAACUUCUCGAAUCGCACGGCCUUGCGCCGGCGAUGGUUCAUUCAAAUUUCUUCCCUAUCAACUUUCGAUGUUUGGGUAUUGGCCAAACAUGGUUGCAACGGGUAACGGAG
rnacentral:rRNA from 1 species